GGGUUGUGAGGUUAAGCGACUAAGCGUACACGGUGGAUGCCCUGGCAGUCAGAGGCGAUGAAGGACGUGCUAAUCUGCGAUAAGCGCCGGUAAGGUGAUAUGAACCGUUAUAACCGGCGAUUUCCGAAUGGGGAAACCCAGUGUGACUCGUCACACUAUCAUUAACUGAAUCCAUAGGUUAAUGAGGCGAACCGGGGGAACUGAAACAUCUAAGUACCCCGAGGAAAAGAAAUCAACCGAGAUUCCCCCAGUAGCGGCGAGCGAACGGGGAGGAGCCCAGAGCCUGAAUCAGCAUGUGUGUUAGUGGAAGCGUCUGGAAAGGCGCGCGA
rnacentral:rRNA from 2 species